CCUACGGGGGGCUGCAGUGGGGAAUAUUGGACAAUGGGGGCAACCCUGAUCCAGCCAUGCCGCGUGUGUGAAGAAGGCCCUCGGGUUGUAAAGCACUUUCAGUGAGGAAGAACGCCUGGUGGUUAAUACCCAUCAGGAAAGACAUCACUCACAGAAGAAGCACCGGCUAACUCCGUGCCAGCAGCCGCGGUAAUACGGAGGGUGCGAGCGUUAAUCGGAAUUACUGGGCGUAAAGCGCGCGUAGGUGGCUUGAUAAGCCGGUUGUGAAAGCCCCGGGCUCAACCUGGGAACGGCAUCCGGAACUGUCAAGCUAGAGUGCAGGAGAGGAAGGUAGAAUUCCCGGUGUAGCGGUGAAAUGCGUAGAGAUCGGGAGGAAUACCAGUGGCGAAGGCGGCCUUCUGGACUGACACUGACACUGAGGUGCGAAAGCGUGGGUAGCAAACAGGAUUGGAUACCCCGGUAGUC
rnacentral:rRNA from 1 species